rnacentral:rRNA from 1 species
AGAGUUGUAUCCUGGCUCAGGACGAACGCUGGCGGCGUGCUUAACACAUGCAAGUCGAACGAGGUCCAUGGAGUAGCAAUACUCCGGAAGACCUAGUGGCGAACGGGUGCGUAACACGUGAGAAACCAACCCCGGUCUCUGGGAUAACAGGUGGAAACACCUGCUAAUACCGGAUGCCGUCGUUUCCUCGCAUGGGGAGAUGACGAAAGGGCUACCGGAUCGGGACGGUCUCGCGGCCUAUCAGCUUGUUGGAGAGGUAACGGCUCACCAAGGCAUCGACGGGUAGCUGGUCUGAGAGGAUGAUCAGCCACACUGGGACUGAGACACGGCCCAGACUCCUACGGGAGGCAGCAGUGGGGAAUCUUGCGCAAUGGGCGAAAGCCUGACGCAGCAACGCCGCGUGCGGGAUGAAGGCCUUCGGGUUGUAAACCGCUUUUACCAGGAAGGAAAAUGACAGUACCUGGAGAAUAAGGUGCGGCCAACUACGUGCCAGCAGCCGCGGUGACGCGUAGGCACCAAGCGUUGUCCGGAUUUAUUGGGCGUAAAGAGCUCGUAGGCGGUUCAGUAAGUCGGGUGUGAAAACUCUGGGCUUAACCCAGAGACGCCACCCGAUACUGCUGUGACUUGAGUCCGGUAGGGGAGUGGGGAAUUCCUGGUGUAGCGGUGAAAUGCGCAGAUAUCAGGAGGAACACCAAUGGCGAAGG